rnacentral:rRNA from 2 species
GUGACCUCGGAUCAGGUAGGAAU